rnacentral:lncRNA from 1 species
CCCCCCCUUCUCUUCCAGGUUUCCAAGAUGCCUUUCCAGACUAGAACCCAGACGUGUGAACCGCUGGCCAGACACAACACUCUUCAAGUUAUGCAGGAGGCAGAGAGGAUUCAUCAGACUAAUUCUCCUGCUGCGACUGACAGAUCGGCCUGAGCUACAAUAGGGAGAAGAAUUAAAUGUAAAAACUCAAUAUUGUGGACCAGAGAUGGUGGUGAAUGCCUGCAAUCCUAGCACCUAGGAGACAGCCUUGCCUAGGGAUGUUCGUUUCUGAGUGGUCUUGAAUACAAGGGCAGUAUCUAAGAAGGACUCUAUCUUCAUGAUUCAUCUUCAGAUACAUAUGUAUAUGAACCACUUUGUACCCCAGAUUUCCUUGUGACUCACUCCAGACAUUUUAUUUCCAAGGUCCUAUUCUUAUGAAUAAGCUAUUAGUAAUUGCUCAUAUAUUCAUGUA